rnacentral:rRNA from 1 species
CACGUAGGCAGCAAGCGUUGUUCGGAGUUACUGGGCGUAAAGGGUGUGUAGGCGGUUCUUUAAGUUUGGUGUGAAAUCUCCCGGCUCAACCGGGAGGGUGCGCCGAAAACUGAAGGGCUAGAGUGCGGGAGAGGAGAGUGGAAUUCCGUGGUGUAGCGGUGAAAUGACGUAGAUAUCAGGAGGAACACCGGUGGUGUAAACGGCUCUCUGGACCGUAACUGACGCUGAGACACGAAAGCGUGGGUAGCAAACAGG